UCAUGACCUGAGCUGAAGUCAGACGCUUAACUGAGCCACCCAGGAGCCUCCAAGAUGUUAUACCUUUUUUGGUUUAGUUUAGUAAAAAAUUAGGACAAAAGAAGAGCUUAUAAAAAUAUGAGUGAGUCUUUCCACUCCCUGUCUACUUUUUCUUUGUGUAUUAAUAAUUGAAAAUCUCCCCAAAAUAUACAAAAGCCAGGUAAAACAAAACUAGAAAUUCAAUUGGAUAGCAAACUAUCAGAUAUAACCAACUUAUCAUUUGGUAGUAUAUUGCAAGAAGCAAAUUUCAAUUCAAAUUUCAAAUUUCAUUUCCAGAUUCAUUCAUUCAGAAGACCAGGGAGUCAGCCCUCCUAUCUCAUUACAAGAAAAAGCCAAAGCAAAAAGCAAUGGCUUAGGGCACAGAUGGAUCCUCUUGCCCUCAGGCCUGAUCACCACAAACUGACUUCAUCAGCAGGUCUGGAAUACUCAACAGUUCCAGAACCACUGGUCUUGGUACAGGCUCAACUAUUGGGAACUAAGAACAAAGGCAGCAGACUGAAUGAUCACAGAGGUCUGAGAGACAACCAAGAACCUGGGCCAAGCUGACAAGGUUCAUCUCCUACAUAAGACCACUCUGUUAAGACUAGGAGAGGUGGCUGCUUUAUCUAAUGUGCAGAGACCAAGAGCGUCAAGAAAAAUAGAGAAACGGGAAUAUCUUUCAAACAAAGGAACAAGAUGAAUCUCCAGAAAGCAAUCUUAAUGAAAUAAGUGACUUGCCUAAUAGACAGUUCAAAACAGUGGUUGUACAGAUUCUUACUGAGGUCAGGAGAGCAAUGCAUGAGGAAAGACAGAAUUUCUCCAAGAGAUACAAAAUAUAUUUAAAGAACAACCCCAAACAUAAAUCAUACGGCUGAAGAAUACAAUCACUGAACUGAAAAAAUUCAACAGAGGGGUUCAAUAGUAGACUAUAUCAGGCAGAAAAAAGGAUCAGCCAACAUAAAGACAGAGCAAAGAAUCGCUUAAGGCACUAAUGGUACACCAUCACAGGUACAAAUAUUUCCAUUAUACAGGUUUGAGAAGAAAGGAGCAGAAAGCUUAUUGAAAGAAAUACUGGCUGAAAACUUCCCUCACCUGGGGAGAUAAACAGACAUACACAUCCAGGAAGCCCAAAGAAUACCAAACAAAAUGAAUCUAAAGAGACACACACACCAAAACACAUAAUUAAAUUGUCAGAAGUUAAAAGACAAGGAGAGAAUCUUAAAAGCAUCAAGAGAAGAACAACUUGUUACAUAUAAGAGCACUCCCAUAAGACAGUCAGCCAGUUUUUCAGCCAGAAAUCUAGCAGGCCAGAGAUAGUGGGAUGAUGUAUUCAAAGUGUGAAAGAAAAAAACUGCCAAACAAGAAUCCUCUACCUGGCAAAGGUGUCCUUCAGCAUUGACGGAGAGAUAAAAGAGUUUUACAAACAAAAGCUGAAAGAGUUCAUUAGCAAUAGCCCAGCCUUACAAGAAGUGUUAAAGGGACUUUUUCAAGUUGAAGUGAAGGACGCUAAUUAGUAACAUGAAAACAUAUUAAAUUAUAAAACAAUAAAAUUUA